GACUCUCCUGUCACAAUUGCUGAUUGGAGCGUCCAAGCAAUUGUCAGCUGGGUACUGUCCGAGGCUUAUGGCAGUAACGUCUCUAUUGUUGCUGAAGAAGAUGUAGAAGCUCUUUCCAAGGCUAGCGCAGCUGGUCUGUUAGAAGCAGUAGUAAGAACUGUGAAUGAGUGUCUAGCCGAUGCUCCUCGUUUUGGACUGAAAGGUCCUGGUACUGAUCUGGAUGCUAAAGCUGUUCUUGAGGCCAUAAGUCGUUGCAGCUUAGCAGGUGCCAGAGGUAGCAAGUUUUGGGUACUGGAUCCUGUUGAUGGCACGUUGGGUUUCGUGCGUGGAGAU
rnacentral:misc_RNA from 1 species